CCUACCUGUCCGACUUCAAAAUGCUCGGACUCUCAACUCUCAACCGUUUACUGAAGCAGUCUGAUGCUGCUGUUGCUGCUGCUGCUGAUCUGCCAAGUGAGAUCCCAUGAGCAUGAGAUCCUGUAAUCUAGAGUGACCCUUGCUUGUCAGGUGUUUGUUGGUAUAUAGGAUCUGCGGGACCAGCUAGAGAAGAGCAAGCAGAACUGGAAGAUCCAGGUAGAAACCAAGAGCAACCAGCAUACUCUGGAGCUCAAAGAGGUUUUAGAGAAGUUACAAAAGACUGAGUUUAGGAUCAGCGAAAUGGAUAAGUCCCAUGAAGAGCAAAAAAAAAAAAAAAAAUGCCACCCUACUUGUUAAAGAGUUGGAGCUGGCUGAGAAGAUGAUGGUCGAUUAUGAAACCCUGCAUAAGCGAGAAGCUGAGGGUCAGUGAGAACUGACUGCAAUCUGGAGGCAGAUCACAACACCCAGGAUGUUAGGAAGUCAGGAAGAGAAGAUUAAACUAAAAAAGAAUAUGGAAAAAACUCUGGAGAAACUCACAAAAAGGGAAAAAGAAGUCUCCACUUUAACGACCCAAGUAGACACCCUAAAGACCCAAAUAAUUGCCUUGGAGGAAAAGGUUUGUUUGGGAGAGAAUGAGGCAGAAGGAUUCUUAAGGGAGAAGACAUGUUGAGGAGAAGAAAUCCAAUGAUGCAUCAGGCCAGCUGGUGAUUAUUAGCCAGGAGUUUCUGAAGAAAGAGAGGAGCCUAAGUGAGCUUUAUGUUUUAUUGCUGGAAUCUCCACGCCACUCUGCAUGAGCGGAGUGGAGGAUGAAGGAACAGAAACUGCAGGAUGACAUUAAAACCCUGAGAGAAACACUUGCUCCUGAGUCGGAAAAGGUUGUCUCCAUACCACCGCCAAUACUCUAUGAUGGAUCCAUCUGCUCCAGACACAGAGGUGGCCCGUCUAUGUUAAAGGCUGCUGAGCACAGAAGAUGCCCUGAGGAACGCUCUGGAAUACAACCAACACGUGGACCAGCUAGUGCAGGCCAUGUGUACCCGCCCAGACAAGAACCAGGCACGCUAGUGCAAAUUAUGCAAUUGGAAUUCAUCAAGACACUUCCUUCACACAAGAGAAAGGAAAUAGAUGAGGACUAAACAGUUAUUGGAUGUUUAAGGAAGAAUGAAGGUGUAAUGGGGAAAAAGACGGCAAGUUGAUGCCUAGACUUUUGGACUAAUGCUUCACUGGACAUCUUAUUUUUUUCCGUUUACAGUUAACACCAAAACAACAACUUUAUAAAUGAACAAACAGAAGCCACAAUUUGAAAAACAUCUAAAAUGUUCUGAGAUGCUAUAAAAGACCUAAUGGAAUUGGUUUAAAAGUCAAUGGUAGAACAUGGGCAAACUGACACACCGAUCCUGUAGACUACCUCUGAGAUGGACAAUGAUAUCUGACUUAACAAACGAGAGUGUUGGUCAGGAAAACGAACAAUACCCUGCUAUACUCCCAGUUGGUUGUAACCAGUUGCAGUUUAGAAAACAUUUUUUGGCAUCAGUUUACACCUUUUAAUUUAUUUGCCAUUUAUGCUUUUCACCUUUUUUAAAAUGAUAAACUGGCCAACUCUCAGCAUAAGGUUUGAAGGAUGGCAGAAUACAAUUCAGUUGUACUUUUUCAACUUUCUUGUAUUUCUCUCUGUGCUGUUUUAACAUCUCCAGGUUUAUUUUCCUCUCUCUGUGCCCCUGGUUCAUAAGCAUUUACUGUAAUUCCAAGCACAGGAACUAACUAACUAACUCUAACUGUCAUUAACUCUCAAAAGUUCAGCCAUGCCGCCAUCUUUUAACUCAUCUAGCUCAGUUCUCAGAAGAUAUUACUAAGGCAGCUCAGCAGGGACACUCAAUAAGCUCAACGAGUCACAUUUGUCUCAUCCUCUCAUGUUAGGUGAGGGGAGACACUGAGUUUUGCCAGCUUUUCACUCAAGCUCAUCCAUUUUUGGCUGCCAUGUAGACAGGCUGUUGAGGGUGGUGUUUACCUUGUGACUACUGGUGACAACUCCCACUUCUCAAUCAGUCUUUUUCACCACUCAUCCAGAAUGCCUGCUGCUCAUCUGGGUCACUAAGAAGGGGACAAUGUUGCUAAGAGGGCUCUAUCGGUCAGGGAGUCACUCCACCGAACAUCAAUACCAGCGGUGCCUCCAAAACUGUAAUACUCCUGUAAAGGAUAUAAAGGGAUACUUCACCUCUGGAAAGAUGAAUGUGUAUUUAAAAUGGGUCAUUUAUGUAAAAGAAA